GACGAACGCUGGCGGCGUGCCUAAUACAUGCAAGUAGAACGCUGAAGAGAGGAGCUUGCUCUUCUUGGAUGAGUUGCGAACGGGUGAGUAACGCGUAGGUAACCUGCCUUGUAGCGGUGGAUAACUAUUGGAAACGAUAGCUAAUACCGCAUAACAAUGGAUGACACAUGUUUUUUAUUUGAAAGGGGCAAUUGCUCCACUACCAGAUGGACCUGCGUUGUAUUAGCUAGUAGGUGAGGUAAUGGCUCACCUAGGCGACGAUACAUAGCCGACCUGAGAGGGUGAUAGGCCACACUGGGACGGGGACACGGCCCAGACGACUGAGGGAGGCAGCAGUAGGGAAUCUGCGGCAAUGGGGGCGACCCUGACCGAGCGACGCCGCGUGAGUGAAGAAGGUUUUCGGAGCGUAAAGCUCUGUUGUAAGUCAAGAACGGGUGUGAGAGUGGAAAGUUCACACUGUGACGGUAGCUUACCAGAAAGGGACGGCUAACUACGUG
rnacentral:rRNA from 1 species